rnacentral:rRNA from 1 species
CUCAACCUCGGAAGGCCUUUGGAUACUGGCAGGCUCGAGUACGGGAGAGGAGAGCGGAAUUCCUGGUGUAGCGGUGAAAUGCGUAGAUAUCAGGAGGAACACCCGUGGCGAAAGCGGCUCUCUGGCCCGAUACUGACGCUGAGGCCCGAAAGCGUGGGGAGCGAACAGGAUUAGAUACCCUGGUAGUCCACGCCGUAAACGUUGUGCGCUAGGUGUGGGAGGAUAUCGACCCCUUCCGUGCCGCAGCUAACGCAUUAAGCGCACCGCCUGGGGAGUACGCCCGCAAGGGUGAAACUCAAAGGAAUUGACGGGGGCCCGCACAAGCGGUGGAGCAUGUGGUUUAAUUCUAUGCAACGCGAAGAACCUUACCCAGGCUUGACAUCUCGGGAAUCCUCUGGAAACGGAGGCGUGCCCUUCGGGGAACCC